rnacentral:pre_miRNA from 1 species
GUCCGUCUUAUAUGAUUUUUUAUAAUUAGUAUUUUUAUUGUUGUUUGAUGAUAAAACAUGAUUAAUACUUUAUGCGUAACUUAUAUUUUAAAUUUUUUUUAUAAUUUUUUCAAAUAAGACGGAC